rnacentral:rRNA from 1 species
UUAAGAAAUUAAGAGCUUGUAAAGGAUCCCUUGGUAUCCAGAAGCGAUGAAGGACGUGGCUACCAGCGAAAUGCUUCGGGGAGUUGGAAGUAAACUUUGAUCCGGAGGUCUCCGAAUGAGGAAACUCUACAUCUUUUUACUGAAUUUAUAAGUAAAAAAGAGCAAACUCAGGGAAUUGAAACAUCUUAGUACCUGAAGGAAAAGAAAGUAAAAACGAUUCCCUUAGUAGUGGCGAACGAAACGGGAACAGCCUAAACCAUCAUAGCCUUUUAGGUAUGGCGGGGUUGUGGGAUAAACAUAAGAAAGUUAAUAUAAACUUUAUAAAAAAUUAGGUGAAUUAGUUGGAAAGCUAUACCAUAGAAAGUGAUAGUCUUGUAACCGAAAAUUUUUUCAUUUUAUUUAUACCCGAGUAGCAUGGGGCACGUGGAAUCCCGUGUGAAUCUGCGAGGACCACCUCGUAAGGCUAAAUAUUCCUGGAUGUCCGAUAGUGAAAUAGUACCGCGAGGGAAAGGUGAAAAGAACCCCGGGAGGGGAGUGAAAUAGAACGUGAAAUUGCAAGCUUACAAAUAGAAGGAGAACGACUUAGCGUUUGACUUCGUGCCUGUUGAAGAAUGUUCCGGCGAGUUAUAGUUAGUGGCAGGUUAAGAUAGAGAUAUCGGAGCCAGAGUGAAAGCGAGCUUGAAUAGAGCGUUAGUCACUAGUUAUAGACCCGAACCCGCUUGAUCUAACCAUGGCCAGGAUGAAACUUAGGUAAUACUAAGUGGAGGUCCGAACCGACUAAUGUUGAAAAAUUAGCGGAUGAGUUGUGGUUAGGGGUGAAAUGCCAAUCGAAAGCGGAGCUAGCUGGUUCUCCCCGAAAUGUAUUUAGGUACAGCGGUUAAUGUUUCAGCGUAGGGGUAAAGCACUGUUUCGGUGCGGGCUGGUAAUUCGGUACCAAAUCGAGGCAAACUCUGAAUACUACGUGUAUAGUUAACCAGUGAGACUAUGGGGGAUAAGCUUCAUAGUCAAGAGGGAAACAGCCCAGAUCACCAGCUAAGGCCCCCAAAUAAUUACUAAGUGGUAAAGGUAGUGGAAAGGCUUAGACAACCAGGAGGUUUGCUUAGAAGCAGCAAUCCUUUAAAAAGUGCGUAAUAGCUUACUGGUCCAGCAGUUCUGCGCCGAAAAUUUAUGGGACUAAGUAAUUUGCCGAAGCUGUGAGAUAUAUAAAUUUAUAUAUCGGUAGGGGAGCGUUCCAUUGUAGGCUGAAGUAUUAGCGAAAGCGGAUAUGGACGAAAUGGAAGUGAGAAUGUCGGAUUGAGUAGCGAAAACAUUGGUGAGAAUCCAAUGCUCCGAAACCCUAAGGUUUCCUCCGCAAGGUUCGUCCACGGAGGGUUAGUCAGGUCCUAAGGUGAGGCUGAGAAGCGUAAUUGAUGGAAAAUAGGUUAAUAUUCCUAUACUGAUCAUUGUUGGUAUCGAGGGACGAAGAAGGCUAGGUUAGCCGGAUAGUGGUUACCGGUUCAAGUAGACGAGGUGUUGAAAAAUAGAGAAAAUAUUUUGAGCUAAGCUACGAGUACAAGAUUCUUAGAAAUCAAAGUAAUUGAUGUCAUACUUCCAAGAAAAGCUCGCAAUGCCUUAAACAAUGAUUACCUGUACCUGAAACCGACACAGGUAGGGAGGUAGAGAAUACCAAGGAGCGCGGGAGAACCCUCCUUAAGGAACUCGGCAAAAUAGCUCUGUAACUUCGGAAGAAAGAGUGCCCAUAGGGCUGCAAUAUCAAGUUCCAAGCAACUGUUUAGCAAAAACACAGGUCUCCGCUAAGUUGUAAAACGACGUAUGGGGGCUGACGCCUGCCCAGUGCCGGAAGGUUAAAGAAGUCGGUUAGCUUUGGCAAAGCUGAUAACUGAAGCCCCGGUGAACGGCGGCCGUAACUAUAACGGUCCUAAGGUAGCGAAAUUCCUUGUCGGGUAAGUUCCGACCCGCACGAAUGGCGUAAUGAUUUGGAAGCUGUCUCGAGGAGGGACUCGGCGAAAUAGCAAUGUCUGUGAAGAUGCGGACUACCUGUGCCAGGACAUUAAGACCCUAUGAAGCUUUACUGUAUCUUGACAUUGAAUCUUGAUUUUAUUUGCGCAGAAUAGGUGGGAGACUAUGAGUAUUCUCUUAUGGGGGGAUAGGAGUCAUCGUUGAGAUACCACUCUUGUAAAAUUGAUAUUCUAACUUCAUACCGUUAGCCGGUUGAAAGACAGUGUCAGGUGGGCAGUUUGACUGGGGCGGUCGCCUCCCAAAAGGUAACGGAGGCGCACAAAGGUUUCCUCAGAUCGUUCAGAAAUCGAUCUUAGAGUGUAAAGGCAAAAGGAAGCUUAACUGUGAGACCUACAAGUCGAGCAGAGACGAAAGUCGGUCUUAGUGAUCUGACGCUGCUGUGUGGAAAGGGCGUCACUCAACGGAUAAAAGUUACUCUAGGGAUAACAGGCUGAUCUCCCCCAAGAGUUCCUAUCGACGGGGAGGUUUGGCACCUCGAUGUCGGCUCAUCGCAUCCUGGGGCGGUAGUACGUCCCAAGGGUUGGGCUGUUCGCCCAUUAAAGCGGUACGCGAGCUGGGUUCAGAACGUCGUGAGACAGUUCGGUCCAUAUCCGGCAUGGGCGUUUGAGUAUUGAGAGUGACCUUUCUCUAGUACGAGAGGACCGAGAAAGAUAUACCGCUAGUGUACCAGUUAUCGUGCCAUCGGUAAACGCUGGGUAGCUAUGUAUAGUUAGGAUAACCGCUGAAGGCAUCUAAGUGGGAAGCCGUCCUCAAGAUGAGUACUCAUAGGUUGCGGCAAGACGAGCCGUUUGAUAGGCAUCCGGUGUACGUGCAGUAAUGUAUUUAGCCUAGAUGUACUAAUAACCAUAUUUUUAAGCAAUAUUUA